rnacentral:lncRNA from 1 species
AACUGCCCACACUAAAACACUUUGAUUUCGUAUUCCAGAUUCCAACCAGACCUCUGUUUUUCAAACUCCUUUUUUUAAAAAAAGCAAUGAAGUUGAAGAAAGCUGAGUGUCUUUGUUUCAGGACAAGGGCCCUGCAGAGCCCCCUUUGACCACCAGAGGUCAGAAGCAAAACAUCGCAUCUCCACCACUGAACCCUCAUUUCCUCUGUCGCUGUCCUGGAGAGGGAGAAGCAAAGGAAUCAGCAGAAAUGCCGCUUCAUUCACAGAGAGGAUGGAGACAGU